UGCCAGUUUACUCCAGAGAAGAAACUGUGUCUCAUAAUUUCUUUUGCAUCAUCUGGUCCUCCACCAAGGCUACGAGAACAGAAAUAAAAUUAAGCACAGUAGAUACCAGGUGCUCAGAGCAGAGCAGCCAUGGAGCUGCUGGGACCAAACCUUGCCUGACCUAGCCACCACCACACCCCAGACAUAUAAAUUUAAAUUUUACUGAUAUAAAGAAUGCAAAACACAAAAUUUACAAAGAUCAUAAAACAUACAAUGUUGUGUAUUGUAAAUUAGUCACCUGAUUCUCACAGAAAACUUGUUAAUUUCUGCUGUACUCCAAAGCCACUAAUGGAUGAAACUUACGAUUAGUUCCAACAUGAAUAUUGGUUGACAUUUUUGUUUAUGUUAAAGUCAAAGCUGAAAGUGAUACAAUGGAGACUUCAGAACUUCACUUGUCAGUUAUGUGAGUGACUUCUUUGCUAAAUGGUUAGUAACUUUGGGAUGGUUGAAGAAGACUCAAUUUUUGGUGCUAUUUACAAUGUAAUGAAUCUGCAUUAUUAAUAUUUUCUCUUAAGUCUAAACAGUCAACAAAACAGUAACUCCAGCCCCAACUCAUAGUAUUUGCCAAUUCUGGCGGUAUAAAUUCUUCCACUGUGGCCAGUUUCGAGCUACCAAUAAGAUGUCACUGAACAUGUAGGCAGGAAGAGAUGCAUAGUAGCAAACCAUUAUAUAUUAUGUCCAAACAGAUACAGCAGACAUAACUAAUCUCAAAAAUACAGAUAACAGUGAAACAUAACAAAUUAAGGAGUAAUGAGUUUUUAGUAUUUAUGACCUUUGAUUUUCCUAUUCUUAAUUAGUAAAUUUAUAUAAUUUUUAGUAAUGACUAUAAUAUACAACCAGCUCACAAAAUUGGUGAAAAUUUAACAGUUGGUUCUUGAGAGCUGGUAUAUGCUAACUCCAAAACACCACUGGGUUGGAAGAAAACCAAAUAGGUCAUAGAAAACAAAUACAGAUGCUCCUAAACUUAACGAUGGGUUAUGUCUAGAUAAGCCCACAUUUCAACUUAAGAUGGGUUUAUCUGGAUGCAAUUCCAUCAUUAGUUGAGGAGCAUACUAAAUAUGCAUCAGUUUCGCACCAUCAUAAAGUCAAAAAAUUGUCAAGCCAUCGUAGGUCAGAAAUCAUUUAUAAUUAUAUAAUUCUAAUGAAUUCUGGUUAUUACAUUUAAGAAACACAUGACUGGGAAGGACCUAGUAUCCUUUGACACACAAUUAAAAUGGAAAACAGUCAACUGAUACCUGAAUAUCUUUAGUGAUGAUAAAUAAUUCCCACCAGCUGGGUCUCCAACUCCCAGAUCCUUAUAAAAUUCUCUAAAUGAACUAUACCCCAGAGAUGGGACUUUUAGGUUUGAUCAUAAUAGUGCUGUUCGAUGUUUGCAUUUGGAAUUUUCAGACUGGUAGUUCUGUGUUCAGUGAGAGCUCAGCAUUUCAGACCCUGCCCUCUUUUUCAUUCUAUUUCAGUUGUGUAGGUUUCUUUCCCAGGAGACUGCAAACUCCUUUGAAGGCAAGAUCAGUGCUGGAUUAUCCAAAAGGCAUUCUAAGCUUGUGCUUGGGGAACCAGAGAAGCAAAAGCACCAAAACACGUUUCUGAAAAGCAUUUAAUAUUUUCAAGCAUGCGUCAACAUAGUCUGCAUGAGAAACAUCAAAGCUCCAUGGCAUUUUCUUACACUUAUGUUGUAGUUUAUUUCAAUACUGUUUUCAUUUGAAUUGUACUUGAGAUGGGAGUUGGAGUGGAGAAUCAUAAUCAUUUUGUAAAUAAAAUGUUUUAAUCCAGCUUUAGUUAUCCAUUUUUGUAACUCCUCAAGUUUUCUAGCAAUACUUUGGUUUUGAACAUAGCCAGCAUUUAUUCUAUAUUUAUCAAAUACAUAUAAAACUAAAAUAUCAGCUAUGAAUACUAUGCAAAGUCUGAGAAUACAAUCAGACUUCCAUUUUAGAAGCUAGGAGAAAUUCUUUAACACACUUCCUCAAUGUGUGAAACUGUCAAAAAUUUCAGUGUCAAUGACUCUCUAAUAUACAAUUUAAGACUUCAAAAAUAAUAACAAAAUAUGCUUUGAAGUAAGAUAUUUAUGUCUAGAAUACUAAACUCCAGUAUCAGAAUGCCAGACUAAAUCCUCAGCUACUACGAAUUCCUUUACUAUUAGGAACAUCACAGAAUUCACAUUUUCCUAAUGUUACUGAAUACAUGAGGUCAUGCUUUUCCUAUCAACUCCGCAAAAGAAGAUAAAGGAGGGGCUAACAGAAUGAACAGAAAGGAUGGAGACUACGAAAUAAAAGCAAAAUGAUAGUUGACCCUUGGAUAGAACUAACAGCAAUUCAAUAAGAAAUACCAGAAAAAUUCCAGUAGUAUUUAAAAUAGCUGCGUAGAAAAAAUGAAGAGGUGUAUUAUAAUGCUAUCGUUACUUAUGUUUCCAAAGGCUUUUCAAGGUCCUUGUUAGCUUUCUUUUCUUUCUCCCCCUGAAACUGAGGUUCCCUAAGAUUCUGUCCUAGGCCCUCUUCUCCUUUUCCACUACCCUUGCCACUACUGCCUUGGCCCUAGCUACCUCCUAGAUAUAGUUAUGGUUCCCAAUCCAUGUAGUCAGUUACUGUGUUUCUUUUAAGCAUUCAUUCUAUUAUUUCCAGCUGCUCACUUGACAUUUCCAUCUUGGUUUUAUAUAGAAACUUCAGACUCAGUGUACCCAAAGUUAUUAUCAACAUCUAGCCCCAUCAAGCCUCUUUGGUUUGCAUACCCUGUCUGUUAAUCACCCUAGCUGGAAACCUCAGAGGGAUUCCUAACUCCUCCUACUUCCUCACAGUUUCUAGUUAAUCAUAACCUCUAUCACUUGUGUACUACUGCUUCAGGAAGGACUCCAUCUAUUAUCUGAACAAUUCCAUACAUA